rnacentral:rRNA from 1 species
ACGUUACCCGCAGAAGAAGCACCGGCUAACUCCGUGCCAGCAGCCGCGGUAAUACGGAGGGUGCAAGCGUUAAUCGGAAUUACUGGGCGUAAAGCGCACGCAGGCGGUCUGUCAAGUCGGAUGUGAAAUCCCCGGGCUCAACCUGGGAACUGCAUUCGAAACUGGCAGGCUUGAGUCUUGUAGAGGGGGGUAGAAUUCCAGGUGUAGCGGUGAAAUGCGUAGAGAUCUGGAGGAAUACCGGUGGCGAAGGCGGCCCCCUGGACAAAGACUGACGCUCAGGUGCGAAAGCAUGGGGAGCAAACAGGAUUAGAUACCCUGGUAGUCCACGCCGUAAACGAUGUCUACUUGGAGGUUGUGCCCUUGAGGCGUGGCUUCCGGAGCUAACGCGUUAAGUAGACCGCCUGGGGAGUACGGCCGCA